UUGUACCUACGGGGCGCAGCAGUGAGGAAUAUUGGUCAAUGGUCGGGAGACUGAACCAGCCAAGCCGCGUGAGGGAGGAAGGUACAGAGUAUCGUAAACCUCUUUUGUCAGGGAACAAAGACUGGGACGCGUCCCCGGAUGAGUGUACCUGAAGAAAAAGCAUCGGCUAACUCCGUGCCAGCAGCCGCGGUAAUACGGAGGAUGCGAGCGUUAUCCGGAUUUAUUGGGUUUAAAGGGUGCGUAGGCGGGCAUUUAAGCCGGCGGUCAAAUGUCGGGGCUCAACCCCGGCCUGCCGUC
rnacentral:rRNA from 1 species